ACACUAGCCGUCAAUCCCUUUUCGUCUCUCAAAAUCAAAACUAUCGAGUUUUGUCCCCAUGCCUAUGACUAUACCUUUCUCUCCCUUGUAUCAUCCAUCUUCCUUUCUUUAGGUUUACAGAUCUUUGCUUCAAUAUGGGAAAACUCAUAGGCGUGGGAGCUUGGGAAAAAAAUAGAGCAAUUAUCUGUGUGCGUGAUUUAAGCACACAUGCAUACACUAAUAUUUUUUUCCUACGCCUCCCAUGCCCUUGAUUUUUCCCUUCGUAUUCUCUCCAAUCGAUCAUCACACCUGUCGGGGUCUGCAACUUCUUCUUGAGUUAUAUCAGAUAUCUCGUGUGUUUGGACUUGUCAUGAAGCUGUUCUUGUUUUUCUUGGAAGUGCAGUGGUGAAAAUAGCGUCAACAAAUCAAGAUCCACGAAAUCCAAGUGCAGCUGCUUUUGUUCGACCUCUGUUCUACUUUUUCUUUUUUUACAGCACUAGAUUUUGCUCUUCUAUUGUACUUUUUUCAGAUCUGGAUUUGUUUUGAAUGGUUAUGUUGGGUUUU